rnacentral:sRNA from 1 species
GCUGGGUGUGGUGGUGCACGCCUGUAAUCCCAGUGGCUUGGGAGGCUGAGGCAGAAGGAUCAAGAGUUCAAAACCAGCCUCAG